UACGGGGGGGGCAAGCGUUGUUCGGAAUUACUGGGCGUAAAGGGCUCGUAGGCGGCCAACUAAGUCGGAUGUGAAAUCCCCAAGCUUAACUUGGGAACUGCAUCCGAUACUGGAUGGCUUGAGAUUGGGAGAGGGAUGCGGAAUUCCAGGUGUAGCGGUGAAAUGCGUAGAUAUCUGGAGGAACACCGGUGGCGAAGGCGGCAUCCUGGACCAACACUGACGCUGAGGAGCGAAAGCCAGGGGAGCAAACGGG
rnacentral:rRNA from 1 species